rnacentral:rRNA from 1 species
AUGGAUGAUACAAGAAAAUCACUACUCAAUUAGCCCACAAGAUUUAAAAUAAUCACUGGUAUAGCUAGGGGACUCCUUUAUCUCCACCAUGAUUCCAAAUUGGUUAUGAUUCAUAGAGAUCUCAAAGCAAGCAACAUAUUGUUGGAUACUGAUAUGAGCCCCAAAAUAUGUGAUUUUGGUACAACUAGGAGCUUUGGUGUCAAUGAACAGGAAGGACAUACCAAUUGA